rnacentral:rRNA from 1 species
UACUAGAGUAGCACUCGCAUAUCAAUAAGCGGAGGAAAAGAAACUAACAAGGAUUCCCCUAGUAACGGCGAGUGAAGCGGGAAGAGCUCAAAUUUGAAAUCAUAAAGGGUUUCCCUUUACGAAUUGUAGUUUAAAGAAGUGUUUUCUGUUGAGGUUUUGGUAAAAGUUCUUUGGAAUAGGACAUCAUAGAGGGUGAGAAUCCCGUAUUUGACCUUUACUUUCAACUUUGUGAUACACUUUCAAAGAGUCGGAUUGUUUGGGAAUGCAGUCCAAAAUGGGUGGUAAAUUUCAUCUAAAGCUAAAUAUUGGCGAGAGACCGAUAGCGAACAAGUACCGUGAGGGAAAGAUGAAAAGAACUUUGAAAAGAGAGUUAAACAGUACGUGAAAUUGUCAAAAGGGAAGCGUUUGACACCAGUGUUGUUUUUCUGAAAAUCAAUUAAAGAACUGUUUAUGCUAAGUUGUUUAGACUUUAUUAGCUAACUGUUUAGUUUUGAGCUUUUCUUUAAUGCACUUUCAGUUAACAAGUCAACAUCAAUUUCUUUUGCUGUAAAAAAGCUUGAGGAAGGUGGCUUGAGAUUCGUCUUAAGUGUUUAUAGCCUCUUGCCUAUGCAGUCGGAGAGAUUGAGGUCUGCAGCGUAGAUCCUUCGGGGCUAAAUGCAUUUGUGCUAAGUUAUAGCAUUUUAUAGACAACUUGUUGACUAUGAUUUGUCUUGUAGCUUACUCGCUUAUGUUAUUUUACCUACGCUUAGGAUGUUGAUAUCGCGCUCUCACUG